AUUGAACGCUGGCGGCAGGCCUAACACAUGCAAGUCGAGCGGAUGAAGGGAGCUUGCUCCUGGAUUCAGCGGCGGACGGGUGAGGAAUGCCUAGGAAUCUGCCUGGUAGUGGGGGAUAACGUCCGGAAACGGGCGCUAAUACCGCAUACGUCCUGAGGGAGAAAGUGGGGGAUCUUCGGACCUCACGCUAUCAGAUGAGCCUAGGUCGGAUUAGCUAGUUGGUGGGGUAAAGGCCUACCAAGGCGACGAUCCGUAACCGGUCUGAGAGGAUGAUCAGUCAACCUGGAACUGAGACACGGUCCCGACUCCUACGGGAGGGAGCAGUAGGGAAUUUUUCGCAAUGGGCGAAAGCCUGACGCAGCCACGCCGCGUGGGUGAAGAAGGUCUUCGGAUUGUAAAACUCUUUUAUUAGGGAAGAACGUAUAUGAAAGUAACUCUUUCCUUUUUGACGUUACCUAAUAAAAAAGCCACGGCUAACUUCGUG
rnacentral:rRNA from 1 species